rnacentral:rRNA from 1 species
UAGAGGAGUUUCGAUCCUGGCUCGAGGUACGAACGCUGGCGGCGUGCCUAACACAUGCAAGUCGAACGAAGCUUGAUGAUGGAUUCUUCGGAAAGAAAUCUGAUAUGACUGAGUGGCGGACGGGUGAGUAACGCGUGAGUAACCUGCCCUUAGGAAAGGGAUAGCGUCUGGAAACGGACGGUAAUACCAUAUAAAGUAUAUUAACGGCAUCGUAGAUAUACCAAAGCUGAGGCGCCUAAGGAUGGACUCGCGUCUGAUUAUAUAGUUGGUGGGGUAACGGCCUACCAAGUCGACGAUCAGUAGCCGGACUGAGAGGUUGAACGGCCACAUUGGGACUGAGACACGGCCCAGACUCCUACGGGAGGCAGCAGUGGGGAAUAUUGCACAAUGGGCGAAAGCCUGAUGCAGCAACGCCGCGUGAAGGAAGACGUUUUCGGAUUGUAAACUUCUGUUCUUAGUGAAGAAUAAUGACGGUAACUAAGGAGCAAGCCACGGCUAACUACGUG